UACGAAGGGGGCUAGCGUUGCUCGGAAUCACUGGGCGUAAAGCGCACGUAGGCGGUCUUUUAAGUCAGGGGUGAAAUCCUGGAGCUCAACUCCAGAACUGCCUUGAUACUGAGAGACUUGAGUUCGGCAGGGGAGACUGGAAUUCCUGGUGGUAGCGGUGAAAUGCGCAGAUAUCAGGAGGAACACCGGUGGCGAAGGCGGGUCUCUGGGCCGAUACUGACGCUGAGGAGCGAAAGCGUGGGGAGCGAACAGG
rnacentral:rRNA from 1 species